GACGAACGCUGGCGGCGUGCCUAAUACAUGCCAGUAGAACGCUGAAGGAGGAGCUUGCUUCUCUGGAUGAGUUGCGAACGGGUGAGUAACGCGUAGGUAACCUGCCUGGUAGCGGGGGAUAACUAUUGGAAACGAUAGCUAAUACCGCAUAACAGUAGAUAUCGCAUGAUAUCUACUUGAAAGGUGCAAUUGCAUCACUACCAGAUGGACCUGCGUUGUAUUAGCUAGUUGGUGAGGUAACGGCUCACCAAGGCGACGAUACAUAGCCGACCUGAGAGGGUGAUCGGCCACACUGGGACUGAGACACGGCCCAGACUCCUACGGGAGGCAGCAGUAGGGAAUCUUCGGCAAUGGACGGAAGUCUGACCGAGCAACGCCGCGUGAGUGAAGAAGGUUUUCGGAUCGUAAAGCUCUGUUGUAAGAGAAGAACGAGUGUGAGAGUGGAAAGUUCACACUGUGACGGUAUCUUACCAGAAAGGGACGGCUAACUACGUG
rnacentral:rRNA from 1 species